AAAUAAAGAGCUAGAACUAAAGAAAUAAUAUAAAGCAACUAAACUGCCAGAUAUAUUAAAAAAUGACAAAUAUCGGCCCGAUAUAUUGGUCGACCUAUUAUAUAUACACACACAUAUAUAUAUAUAUAUAUAUAUAUAUACACAAACAUUAAAGCUAAAUUGUAUAUGAUAAUAAAGUUUGUUUUUAGAGAAUAUUUGCAAUAUUUUAUUUCUCUGUGUUUCAAGCAUAAGCCUCACUAUUUCUCUUAAAUAUAUGCUUUAAAUAAGAACAAAAAGUAAGCAUGUUUGUUUUGAUUUGCCUUGUAACAAAUUCAUUCAGUUUCGCUAAAACCAUGCAGACAGUAGCUGGAAAUAAACAACACUAUUAGAAAACACAUUUCAUCCUCAAUUAAAUCUCCCAUCUCAAGGCAAUUCAUAACUAUAUUACAUUUUGGCAAAUUGGUGCUAAUUCAUAUUAUAUUAAUUGGUGGCAAAUUCCUAUAAUAUAUCUUAAAAGUUCAUUUCUUAUUGUUGUUGUUGUUGACUGUUUCAGUUCUCAGAGUUUAGUCUCUCGCUUGGCUGGUCGCACGCUCACACGUUUCUUCCAGUUCCACAGGACGUAGUCAGGACAGAGUCCCGGAGUAUAGCUACCCUGAUUCUGCCAGUAGGCAUGGGUCACCAUCUCUACACGCUUUUGGGAGCUGUGCCUGUUGAUUGGAGGAACCAGUUCUCUGUCACCCCACCCAACAUAAAGUUAACACAACAUACCAAUGCAGAAAGAAAGAUUAAUUCAUUAUCCAUCGCAUUAAGUUAACAGCCUUUUAAUACAAGUUAUAUUAAAUUUCUUAGACCUGCUUCUACCCACUGACCAGGUCUUCUUUCUUCUCUCAUCCUGUAGCUUCACAUUCUUACUGACAUAGGAAGACAAACCUCAAACGUCUGAGGUAAAACACUCCACAAGUUCCUUCUAAAACAGCACAUCAUCUAGUCACAUCUUAAUUUUAAAUGUCAUAAAGCUAUUAUUUUAAUUUGGAUUCAAAUGUAACCUUCAAGGGAUACUCCACCCCAAAAUUGAAAAUUUUGUCAUUAAUCACUUACCUCCAUGUCAUUCCAAACCCGUAAAAGCUUUGUUUGUCUUCGGAACACAAUUUAAGAUAUUUUGGAUGAAAACCGGGAGGCUUGUGACUGUCCCAUAGACUGCCAAGUAAAUUACACUGUCAAGGUCCAGGAAAGUAUGAAAGACAUCGUCAG
rnacentral:lncRNA from 1 species